rnacentral:misc_RNA from 3 species
AACGCACAUUGCGCCUCAUGGUAUUCCGUGAGGCAUGCCCAUCUCAGCGUUAGUAGAUAUUAUCAAAUUUUGACAUUGUCAAUAUUUGGAUCAUGUCGAGGAAGCUAUUACCAUCGAUGUGGAUAGCUCCUUGGAAAUUCAUAGGUCUUCAAGUUGCCAUCAUUAGAACGUGAUGAAAAUUCCUUCGUUCACAUGUAGUUCGCUUGUAUAGUCCUAAAACUCAUAUACCUUUUUGGUAUUUUUUUCAAUUUGACCUGAGAUUGGGUAGGGAUACCCGCUGAACUUAA